rnacentral:rRNA from 1 species
AUUGAACGCUGGCGGCAGGCCUAACACAUGCAAGUCGAGCGGAUGAAGGGAGCUUGCUCCUGGAUUCAGCGGCGGACGGGUGAGUAAUGCCUAGGAAUCUGCCUGGUAGUGGGGGAUAACGUCCGGAAACGGGCGCUAAUACCGCAUACGUCCUGAGGGAGAAAGUGGGAGAUCUUCGGACCUCACGCUAUCAGAUGAGCCUAGGUCGGAUUAGCUAGUUGGUGGGGUAAAGGCCUACCAAGGCGACGAUCCGUAACUGGUCUGAGAGGAUGAUCAGUCACACUGGAACUGAGACACGGUCCAGACUCCUACGGGAGGCAGCAGUGGGGAAUAUUGGACAAUGGGCGAAAGCCUGAUCCAGCCAUGCCGCGUGUGUGAAGAAGGUCUUCGGAUUGUAAAGCACUUUAAGUUGGGAGGAAGGGCAGUAAGUUAAUACCUUGCUGUUUUGACGUUACCAACAGAAUAGGCACCGGCUAACUUCGUG